rnacentral:snRNA from 1 species
GUGUUUGCUUUGGCAGCACAUAUACUAAAAUUGGAACGAUAUAGAGAAGAUUAGCAUGGACCCUGCGCAAGGAUGACAUUCAAAUUCGUGAAGCGUUCCAUAAAAAA